GAGAAAGUCUAAGUAGACACAGGAUGGAUCAUCAGUCAGAAUGAGGCUGCAGGUCUUCUGGCAACAACUGUUGAUGAAAGUUACAUCAAGAAUAAUAAUUUGUUAAACAAACAAA